ensembl:lncRNA
GUAAGUUUCCCUUAAAGCAAGGGGGAAUGGUAGUGGAAGGGAGAAAAGAGAGGGGAAGGGGAGGGAAGUGAAGGAUGGGGGAGAGGGGGAGGAGCAGUGGGGAAAGCGGUGGGCUAGAGGGGGUGAGGGGGGCAAGAGGGGGGAGGGAGGAGGGGUGGAGAGGGGGGUGAGUAAGUGGGGGCGUGGGUGGACGGGGGGGGGGGGGAGAGGGUGGGAAGGAAAAAUUGGAGGUAGGGUGAGGGAAGGGGGAGGGUGGGAAGGAAAAAUUGGAGGUAGGGUGAGGGAAGGGGGAGGGUUGAAGGGAAAAUAAUGAAACAGAGGAAAAAAGAGAAUAACAAGUAAAAAGCAAUGCAUGUAAAUACAGAGCAAGCAAGUAGGAAAGCUAGGCAUAGCACAGCAAAAGAGAGCAAAGCAAAAGAAGGCAAAGAAUGACAAAAAGCAACCUUGCAGGAAUGGAGGAAUCUGUCCAGAGCUGUGCCCCUGCUUGCCACAGGAGCUGCGCGGGAGGAGAAGAACGUGGGCCAAAAGGUAAGAGGAGCUCCUUUGGGUUCUGGGCUUGAAGCAAAGCUGAGAAGCCAUGCCCGGGAGGAGAAGAACGUGGGCCAAAAGGUAAGAGGAGCUCCUUUGGGUUCUGGGCUUGAAGCAAAGCUGAGAAGCCAUGCCCGGGAGGAGGUGUGGGUAGCUACAGGCCACCUUGCUAUCUCCCCAAGAGAUGAGGUGUGGGCUAGGCACCGGGCAGGAGUGCUGGCCAGAAGCAAGCAUCUCUGUGGAGGAAGGCAAAGGGCGGAGGAGGUUCAAGGGUAGCUACCGGGCAUGGCCUUGCUCAGCAAGGGGAGGAAAAGCCUGAAGGGCACGAGAAGGGGAUAGAGAAGGGCAGGCAGUAGGCGUGAAGCUGCGAGCAGAGUAGAGAGCAACUUGGCAGAGCAGCAAGCAGAGUAGGCAAGUGUUGAGGUUUGGCGUGAGUAGCAGCAGCAAAAGCCCAGAGCAUCAAGAAGCAGGAAGUGAGGAGAAGGUAAGUGAAGGGCAGGCAAGGUAAUGGGAGGCAAAGGCAAG